rnacentral:tRNA from 1 species
GCUUCCUUAGCUCAAUUGGCAGAGCACCGCUCUUGUAAAGCGGAGGUUUUCAGUUCGAUUCUGAAAGGAAGCUCCA